rnacentral:rRNA from 1 species
AGAGUUUGAUCCUGGCUCAGGACGAACGCUGGCGGCGUGCCUAAUACAUGCAAGUCGAGCGGACAGAAGGGAGCUUGCUCCCGGAUGUUAGCGGCGGACGGGUGAGUAACACGUGGGUAACCUGCCUGUAAGACUGGGAUAACUCCGGGAAACCGGAGCUAAUACCGGAUAGUUCCUUGAACCGCAUGGUUCAAGGAUGAAAGACGGUUUCGGCUGUCACUUACAGAUGGACCCGCGGCGCAUUAGCUAGUUGGUGAGGUAACGGCUCACCAAGGCGACGAUGCGUAGCCGACCUGAGAGGGUGAUCGGCCACACUGGGACUGAGACACGGCCCAGACUCCUACGGGAGGCAGCAGUAGGGAAUCUUCCGCAAUGGACGAAAGUCUGACGGAGCAACGCCGCGUGAGUGAUGAAGGUUUUCGGAUCGUAAAGCUCUGUUGUUAGGGAAGAACAAGUGCAAGAGUAACUGCUUGCACCUUGACGGUACCUAACCAGAAAGCCACGGCUAACUACGUGCCAGCAGCCGCGGUAAUACGUAGGUGGCAAGCGUUGUCCGGAAUUAUUGGGCGUAAAGGGCUCGCAGGCGGUUUCUUAAGUCUGAUGUGAAAGCCCCCGGCUCAACCGGGGAGGGUCAUUGGAAACUGGGAAACUUGAGUGCAGAAGAGGAGAGUGGAAUUCCACGUGUAGCGGUGAAAUGCGUAGAGAUGUGGAGGAACACCA